GCCUAGUUAGCUUAGUCGGUAGCGCCUGCCUUGUAAGCGCUAAGCCGCGGGUUCGAUUCCCGCCCGGGGCG
rnacentral:tRNA from 1 species